rnacentral:misc_RNA from 1 species
GAGCAUCUUCUACUUUGUCAUGAACAUUUUGGCCUUCAUCUAAGUUCUCCUUCACAACAUCCUUCUCAGAAGAUUGGAUUUCAUCUUUCUUCUCCACUUCGCUUUCUCCAUCUUGAGUUUCAUUUGGGUUCUCAUUUUCUUUUUUUUCAACAUCUUCCUCAGAUUCCAUUGCUGCAGUGUCCUUCUCGUGCUUUUCAGCUUCCUCCAUGUCAUCAUCCUUUGCUGCUUCAGUUUCUUUAGUGACUUCUUUGUCUUUGGAAUCCUUCUUCGAAGCUGAAGACUUUCUGCCUCGUUUCUUAGCAGGUUCACUUUCUGUAGGAGAUUGAGUUGCCUUUGCCUUUCCAGUGAUCCUCGCCGAUCUUCUUGGGGUUUCACCAGUUCCCCAAUCAAACUCCGCUACUGGUGGACCACCAGGGUGUGACUUCAGGUACUGUUCCAACUGUUUUCUUGUGGUGAUCUCCUCUCCUGUUGGUGCAGUAAAUACGAUAUCAUUCUUCUUGGGAGUACCUCCUUUUUUAGGCAGAAACUUCUUGCUCCAACCAGAAGGAGCUGGAAGCUCAAUAGACACAACUUCAUUUUUC